GCAGUGGUGGUUCAGUGGUAGAAUCCUCACCUUCCAUGCAGAAGACCUGAGUUCGAUUCCCAGGCAAUUGCA
rnacentral:tRNA from 1 species